AGAGUUUGAUCAUGGCUCAGAACGAACGUUGGCGGCGUGGAUUAGGCAUGCAAGUCGAGCGAGGACUGUCCCUGUAGCAAUACAGGGGCAGAGCCGAGCGGCGAAAGGGGCAGUUAUGUGUGGGUAACGUACCUCCCGGUUCGAGAUAGCCACGGGAAACUGUGGGUAAUAUCGAGCGACGUCACGGCGGCACCUGUCGCUGUGACCAAAGGUCCGCCGCCGGGAGAGCGGCUCACAUGGUAUUAGCUAGUUGGUGGGGUAAUGGCCCACCAAGGCGAUGAUGCCUAGCAGGUGUGAGAGCACGACCUGCGCCACUGGCACUGAGACACUGGCCAGACACCUACGGGUGGCUGCAGUCGAGGAUCUUCGGCAAUGGGCGCAAGCCUGACCGAGCGACGCCGCGUGUGCGAUGAAGGCCUUCGGGUUGUAAAGCACUGUCAGGGGGGAAAAAUCACUGAUUGAUCCCCAGAGGAAGCACGGGCUAAGUUCGUGCCAGCAGCCGCGGUAAGACGAACCGUGCGAACGUUGUUCGGAAUCACUGGGCUUAAAGGGCGCGUAGGCGGUCUACCAAGUCGGGGUUGAAAUCUUUCGGCUCAACCGGAAAAGUGGCUUCGAUACUGGUAGGCUGGAGGGAGGUAGGGGCGGAUGGAACUUCCGGUGGAGCGGUGAAAUGUGUUGAUAUCGGAAGGAACGCCGGUGGCGAAAGCGAUCCGCUGGACCUCUUCUGACGCUGAGGCGCGAAAGCCAGGGGAGCAAACGGGAUUAGAUACCCCGGUAGUCCUGGCCCUAAACGAUGGGUA
rnacentral:rRNA from 1 species